rnacentral:rRNA from 1 species
UACGUAGGGAGCUAGCGUUGUUCGGAAUCACUGGGCGUAAAGCGCACGUAGGCGGAUGUGUCAGUCAGGGGUGAAAUCCCGGAGCUCAACUUCGGAACUGCCUCUGAUACAGCACGUCUUGAGUCCGAUAGAGGUGGGUGGAAUUCCUAGUGUAGAGGUGAAAUUCGUAGAUAUUAGGAAGAACACCAGUGGCGAAGGCGGCUCACUGGUCCGGUACUGACGCUGAGGUGCGAAAGCGUGGGGAGCAAACAGG